rnacentral:lncRNA from 1 species
AGCCGUACUGGAAUCGUCCCCCAAUUUUGAGGCCAAACCAGUCAAACCCUUUUGCACACCCCGCAAGCGUGACUCAUCCCUGGUUUUGAUGCCAAACCGGUCAAACCCUCUCGCACACCCCGCAAGGCGUGAUUCACCCCCAGUUUUGAGGUCAAACUAGUCAAACCCUCUUGCACACCGCACACGAGGUGACUCACUGAUGUUGAUGCGUGUCUGGCCUCCACCAAGCCUUCGACGCC